rnacentral:sRNA from 1 species
GAGCUAGAUUCCUAAUAAGGAGGUGUCCCAUGAACAAAAAUGUGUAUUUCCAGGGAACUUAAUUAUCCUCAUUCUAUUCAAUGACUGCAGCACCAUCCCCACCGUCAAUGAGCAUGAGCAGAUUAAUUCAUUUGACAAAUAUUUGCCAAGUACCUACAAGGCAUCAUUCUCCAUGAGCACAUACUUGUAAACAAAACACAGCAGCAAAGGACCCUACCCUCUAGGGGAGGCAGGCAAUAGAAAAAUAAGGAGAUAAUAUGUGCGUCAUGACAAGCAUUUUGAAGACAAAAUAGUGGAAGGGGAUAAGGAGUAAUGGGGAUAAAGGAGGUGCUGCUCUUUUAUGUAGACCAGUCAAAGAGCAGAACCUGUACAAAGUAAGUGAGCAUCGUGACCAGCUGGGAGAAGAGCAAUGCAGGAAGAAGAUGUGGUUAGUGCAAAGGCCCCAGGAAGACUGUGCCUGAUGUGUUUGAGCAGCAGCGAUGAGGCCAGUGUGGCUGGGGCUGAGUGGGUGGGGUGGGGGAGUGGAAGAUGAUACGGUCAGAGAGGCUGUGGGGGAAAGACUUGUAGGACUGUAUAAAAACUUAGGCUUUCUAAGAGAGAUGGGAAAUCACAGGAACAUCAUGAUCUGAUUCAAAUUGUCACAGGAUCCCUCUGGCUGCAGUGUGGAGAGUGGCCUGUAGGGGACCAAGGGUGGAGACAGAGGGCCAGUGAGUAGGCUACUGCACCAGUCCAGGCAAACACUGAAGGCCUGUGUAUAUAUGUUGUUCCCUCGGUCUGUCUCAGGUCUCUUGAAUAGUAAGAAUGCUUUGCUCUGUUGAAGAUGAUUCCGUUCUUUACAUAAGUAAUUAAAUGUCUUUCCUUUGCUGUUUCCUGAUACCUAAAUGCAGUAAUAUGUGCUCAUGAUAGAAAACUUAGAAAAUAAAGAAAAGCAUUAAACAAUAAAGAUUUCCAACUCCUACAACUCAAAGGAAACAGAUAAAUGAUUCUACUUUAGAGGUCUAAAUGUACAGGAACUCAUUGAUUUGCUCAUCAAAAGGUGAAGAGGGAAGAGUAGCAGCCCCAGGUAGAUCUACCCAGCAGGCGAGGCUGCCCUCAGGAACCACAGCCUUCCCUUUCCUAAUGAUUUCUACUCUGUGGCACCCACUCUUCCCUCCUCAGGGCUCUGGUGUUACCCUCCUUCUGGGUCUCCAUCAAAUCUGCUCUCAGCAAAAGAUCCAGCUCAUUCAUCCAGCCCCAAGGGACAGGGCUUCACCUCAGGACAAGGGUGAGAUGAAUGAGGUCUUGGACACGAAUUUAAGAAGUCAAAAAACUCAGCCAUCAAGAUAAAUCAUAUUAAAAUGCAAUAGUUCAAAAAAUUAAAAUUAAUUUAAAAAGUCCAUGAACAAAAUAUAAACAUUUAAAAUAAAGACAGGGUCCAACCUUGCACCUGCACAGUCCUGCCUUGCUCUCCGCACCCUAACCCAGCCCUGCUCAGCCCAAGAGCUUUGAAUCUGAAUACGAAUCAUUCCAGACUUCAAGGUCAAGUUAAAGUGUUAAUCGUCUACCAGAAUGUGAUUUCUAGCUUCAAUAAGAAAACCAAGGAAACAACUUCCACAUCAAUGCAAAGGUUUUGUCAUUUCACCAGGUUUUUUUGUCCCCCUCUCUUUACCUGAUGGUUUAGUAAAGAGGUGAAGAAGUCUGUGGCUGAAUGAACACAUUGAAUAACUGCAGAGACUUAAAUUCCAAUCUUAAAUAUUCAUCAAGAUAUUUUACUUUUUUUUUUUUUUUUUUUUUUUUUUUUGAGGUAAAGUCUCAUUCUGUUGCCCAGGCUGUAGUGCAGUACCGUGAUCUCGGCUCACUGCAACCUCUGCCUCCCAGGUUCAAGCAAUUCUCCUGCCUCAGCCUCUCGAGUAGCUGGGACUACAGACACAUGCCACCACACCUGGUUAAUUUUUGUAUUUUUAGUAGAGGCGGGGUUUCUCCAUGUUGGUCAGGCUGGUCUCAAACUCCUGACCUCAGAUGAUCCACCCACCUCGGCCUCCCAAAGUGCUGGGACUACAGGUGUGAGUCACCACGCUUGGCCAUGCCAGUUGUUUCUGCUGCUUGCCGUGUAGACCGCUGUGAUGACCAUCCUCUUAUUGACCCUCCUGUGUCUCUGGAGCCCCACCACCUGCCUUCUACCCGGAACUUUCCUUCUCAGGUCCUUCUUCAACACCAGCUCCAGGAUCUGCAAGACCUUUGGAUAUGGCCGCUGCAGAAGGAAGGAGAACCACUUCCUGGAGAAGCAGGAGUAAGCCAGGAUCUGCCACAGGAGAGAGCCGGGACCCCAGGGUGUGGGAUAAGGCGAGGAGCAGGUCCGGAGGGAAGAUCUGAGGCAAAGACGUAGUGUUCACAGGUCCUACACCCCUUGCACCUACAGUGUCCCUUCUCUGAUGCUGAGGCUCUUGCUGCCUUCCGAGGAGAAAGUGGCAACAUGUCCUGUGAAACCACAGACUUAACACAUCUUCCAAAAGCCAGCUUGGCAGGAGGUCACUGCUAGAAGCACCUCUGAAAUAAUCUGAGCCGUCUUACCUGUUCCCCUUUUUCAGAUGGGAACACUGAGGCAGCCACCCUGCUGAGUGAGUCUGCAGUGCUCCUGAGCCACCACCCCCCAGGCUUGGCAAACUCACUGCGUUCUUGUCUGUAGCCUUGACUGCAGGGAGGAUCAGAGAUGCUCAUUUCUGGGAGGGUCUAGGAUCUGCCAGCUGCACAGUGUCCAAGUCAAGGGCUUCAGCAAUGACAAUGAACAAAUUCCUUUCUCUUUGCAGAGAGCCUGUCACCUGUGCUGCCUUGAGAUGCUGACGUCUGAGGAUGCCCCAGACAGGGCCUGUGGCAGCUUUCUGAAAUAGUGCAGCACCUUCUCUGCUUCCUCCUCAACCUUCUCCUUCACAGCAGAACCCUGCCUCCUUCCUCUCCCCACGGGCUUGUUUCAGCACUGUAUUUGAUAAACUGAGCACCACAAGAACACAAACCACAUUCCUUUGUUUUUUCAUCACGUUAUCCCCAGCACUUAGCACAGUGCCUGGCACAGAGGAGACAGUCUGUAAAUAUUUGUGUAAUGAAUGAAUAAAUGAGGGCAUGAGUACAUCUCCUUUGCCCAGGAUGG